CCUACGGGAGGCAGCAGUGGGGAAUAUUGGACAAUGGGCGAAAGCCUGAUCCAGCAAUGCCGCGUGAGUGAAGAAGGCCUUCGGGUUGUAAAGCUCUUUUUACCCGGGAAGAUAAUGACUGUACCGGGAGAAUAAGCCCCGGCUAACUCCGUGCCAGCAGCCGCGGUAAUACGGAGGGGGCUAGCGUUGUUCGGAAUUACUGGGCGUAAAGCGUACGUAGGCGGCCAUUCAAGUCAGAGGUGAAAGCCCGGGGCUCAACUCCGGAAUUGCCUUUGAAACUAGGUGGCUUGAACACGGGAGAGGUGAGUGGAAUUCCGAGUGUAGAGGUGAAAUUCGUAGAUAUUCGGAAGAACACCAGUGGCGAAGGCGGCUCACUGGACCGUUGUUGACGCUGAGGUACGAAAGCGUGGGGAGCAAACAGGAUUAGAUACCCUGGUAAGUCCACGCCGUAAACGAUGAGAACUAAGCUGUCAGGGCUCUUAGAGCUUUGGUGGCGCAGCUAACGCAUUAAGUUCUCCGCCUGGGGAGUACGGCCGCAAGGUUAAAACUCAAAAUGAAAUUGACGG
rnacentral:rRNA from 1 species